rnacentral:misc_RNA from 1 species
UACGAACCGUCCAAACGUUAUUCGGAAUCAUUGGGCUUAAAGGGUGCGUAGGCGGUGCAGUAAGUCGGGUGUGAAAUCCCUCGGCUCAACCGAGGAACUGCGCCCGAUACUGCUGUGCUUGAGGGAGACAGGGGCGAGCGGAACUGAUGGUGGAGCGGUGAAAUGCGUUGAUAUCAUCAGGAACACCAGUGGCGAAAGCGGCUCGCUGGGUCUCUUCUGACACUGAGGUGCGAAAGCGUGGGUAGCAAACAGG